rnacentral:rRNA from 1 species
UACAGAGGUGGCAAGCGUUGUUCGGAAUUACUGGGCGUAAAGGGCGCGUAGGCGGCCUUCUAAGUCAGACGUGAAAUCCCCCGGCUUAACCUGGGAACUGCGUCUGAUACUGGAGGGCUUGAGUGCGGGAGAGGGAUGUGGAAUUCCAGGUGUAGCGGUGGAAUGCGUAGAGAUCCGGAAGAACACCGGUGGCGAAGGCGGCCCGCUGGGCAGGAAGGCUCGCAAGAGCCGGCUGACACUGAGGCGCGACAGCGUGGGGAGCAAACAGG